rnacentral:lncRNA from 1 species
AUUUUACAGAUGACACACUAAGGCGCAAGGCAGCUGCACAUCCACGGCCAGCCUCGUUGUCUUCAGGGAUUUGUUCAAAGUUCAUUCUGAAUUGUAAGGUAACCACUGCAGAACACGAGCCUUUCCUGGGUAUGUGUGGUUAUUUCUGCCCUUCACGGUCCCACUCAAGUCCUGCCUCCCUCAGGGAGACCUCCCAGACCUCACCAAGCCGUGGGCACGUGGACCAGAAGCCGUGGACCCCAGAGGCUCAUUUAGGGAUCUGCUUUCUGAACCCAGGUCCUAACAUCUGCACUGCAGCGAGCAUUUCUGGUGCCUCAAGUGAGUCACUCCAACUUCCAGGAGCCACCAGCCACAGGCAGCCACUGAGCCCUUGGCAUGUAACCCGGUAACCCAUGCAACAGAAGACCUGAGCGUCCAGUGUUGCUAGCUUGAAGUAACUUCAGUGGUGUUCCCCAGCGUUUUUCUCAUCCCCCUCCCUUCCCUUCCCCUACAGCUUUCUUCCUCUUUCCCCUCCUUCUGAGUCUUUCGUCCCCAGUCCUGGGAACCUUUUUUCUGACUUGGUGUUUUCUCCUGAAUGCCUCCUUCCUGGCCCCCUAAUCAGAAAUGCAGAAGCCACCUGCCCCACACAGGGGGCCACUUUCCCUGCAUCUGGCACUCACCAGGACAGUCAUAGAACUGGCCUUGGGUGCUUGGGGAGAGUGGAGAGGUCUGGGGGGCAUCCACUGGCCUCAGCCUCAGAGCUUCUCAUCAGUAACCCAGGAGGCAAAGGCCCAGCUCAAGAUUAGCCCAGGCCACUGUAUCUGUGCCAAGACCUACAGCUGUCCCUGCAGGGCGUGCAUCUCUGCAGCCCAGGCUAUCACAAUGGUGUCCCUUUUGGUGGGGAUGUGAGGCCUGCUGCUGCCUGGGAAGAAGCUGACAGGAUUGUUGGUGCUGUGGGGAGAAGCUGGUGUAACUGAGACCCAUGAGGGAGGCCCUUUGUGGGUCUGUGGCUGGGAGGAGCUCUGGGGAAGAUGGGCCUUGAGAAAUCCCAGCUUAGCACCUUUGACAGUUGCUCCACUGAGUCACCCUAGACUGCAAUCUCACAGAUGUUCUAACCACCCUCUCCCUGGGGAGCCCUUGGGGGUGCUGCAAGCCCAGUCCUCACUCACUGGCUUUGUGCUUCUCUUCCCGACUUCCUUUUUUUGCUCCUGUUGAGAAAUGUGGGUCCAGGGCUGCGUGCUCCAGUGUGCGGAAGGAAGGGCAGCGUGCUCUUUGGACUGAGCUGGCUCAAGGGAAGCUGGGUCUGAGGGGAGACUGACCUCGACCCUUCUUAAAUGAAACACCUUUUCCCUGCGUCUCAGUCACCGUUACCUGGCCUGAUCACUGUGUGCCACACCCCAUCACAUCCAUCCCCACAAGAAUGCCAGGAGGAGGGGUCAUUGGCCUUUUUGUCAGCACAAACCUCUGGAGGCCCAGCUCCCAAGACCCGCCAGGCACACCUGCCAGAGUGCCUUAACUUGGGAUGUCUGCAAACCUCUGUCCAUGGCCGAACCCACCCCACUGCCUGUUACUGUAAAUAAAGGUCUAUUAGCAUGCCACCAUGCCCCUCCUCCGAUGCAUACAGUGCCCAGCUCAGCACCUGGUGCAAGUAAGCACAAUCUGGCUUCCAGCCAUCACUGCUGUUGCUACUAACACAAAUAUUAGGCCCCUUCUAGAAUGCAAAGAUAACCCAGGGCUGCUCGUUCUGUGUCCAGAUCACAGAGUUUUUCUUUUUAUCCUUAUCAACUUUAUUGAGGGAUAAUUUACAGGCAAUAAAUCAUAUCCAUUUAAAGUUAUUGUCAAGCUUUUAAAGAAUUAAAGUUCGUCUUCUUCAGAAGCUUACCGAGGACUACAGGCUGUGGCGUAGAGCCCUGGAGCAGCCUCCACUGAGGUUCUGUAUUUCAGGUCACAGUUGACAUAUAGGUGGGAGGUCCAGUACGUGCAAAGUCACAUGAAAGCUUGGGUGUCAGAGUGCAUCAGGUUAUGGAUUCAAUUACAGAGCAAUAAUCACUGACCCUGUCAGAUGUUAUCUUACGUGUAGGAAAAGGUAAGACCAGGGCCAUUUAUCUGCAAAGAAUAUAGUGACUCAGGCAAGAGUCCGGAGAGGGUGUGUGCUCCAUCCUGUUUUGUCUUCAGAGCAUCUUUCUGGGGAGCUGCACAUCGUUAUAGAGACAGGCACUUUGUGAAAUUCUGCUGCCAAGCACAAAUGAGCAAACGUGGUUUCCUAUGUUUACUACUUUGUCUCACAAAGCGCACAUUCACAGUGCAUUAUUAAGGGGCCCUGGCAGCACCGCCACAGUGUAUCUCUGCUCCCUCUUAAAGUUCCCCGUGCCCCUUGGCAGACAGGCCCCUCUCACUCCUGGGCCCAGGCUACCAUUGACCAGCUUUUUGCCACUAGAGGUUAAUUUUCAUUCUAUGUGAUUGGAAUCAUACAGAUGUUCUUGUAUCUGACUUAUUUCACUCCACAUAGUGAUUCUGAGAUUCAAAUGUUGUGUGUAUCAGUUGUUUGUUCCUUUUUAUUCCUGAAUGGGAGAGGGGAUGUCAAGCUGCACAGUUUUAUUCCUGGGCUACAGUGGAGAUGGAUGGUUCUACCGUCUCUCUGAAACACCAUCUGCAGUUUCUUCAAAAUCUACCUACACAUCUUCCAUCCCAUCCUGAGGAGUCCCCGAGGGUUGAGAAAUGCAUGACCCCACACCUGGCUGACGUGUACAACUGGCGGAGUUAGUUUUUCCUGUUGACACUGGCCACGGGCGCCUCAGCAUGCACAGCCCUGGCCUUGCUCCUCUAGGCAUGCUGGGGGCUUGUCCACACGUGUGGUCUACGGAUGGAGGAGAGUGGCCUCUGGCCCAUGCGUGCCAUGCACUGGACCUUCCCAGGGAAUCAAGUUACAUGAUGUUUCCUUGAGGAGCUACAUACAAAGUAAAAAACUGAAAUCAAGAAUAUCAGUCAUUUCUGAAUAUGCCAAUUCGCCCAUGGUGCAGUUUGUACAGCUUAAUCACUGCAGAACAGUUUUGAGGAUAAAAUUAACCAAAAACCUAAGUAGACAAAAUAUUCAAAUUUUUGGAAUCUGUCACAAAAAUCCACAGAUGACUUAUUUUCCAUUGUAGCUUAUAAUGUCCAAAAGCCUUUCUAGUGACUUAUAACUGAUGGUGAGCUCCCACUCUGUGGCAGCUGUGGGACACUGGUCUAAGGACUACACCCUGAUGCCUGGUGAGUUACAGAGGCCAUGAGAAGAUGUCAGUGAACCUGAAAGCCAGGGAGAGGCUGUGUUCCUGCCGGACUGUGGGGCUCCUUCGCUCCCCUGCUGUGGCCCUUGGUCAGGCCACUUUCCCUCUCUGGGUGUCAGUGGCUUCAUCUACGAAGUGAUAAAAAACUAAUGCAAACCAGAGCAAAAUGAGAUAACACGGGGACCCCUAAUGUCCCAGGGAGAUGGUGAACUGAAGCACCGCGUGCGGUGAGUUGUUGCUGUCUCCACCCCUCAAGGAGACCGCAGCUUUGCAGACGUGUGGGUCCCAUCAUCGGCCCCAUUCUACAUUCCUCCCUGUGUCCCUGCCAUCGCCAGGUGACUUUGCUGGGCCCUCCCACCGCCCUAACUCCCAAUCCCAAGAUCUUCAGUGAACGUGACGCGCACAGCAGAGGCCCAGAAUGUAUGUGUGCAUGUGGUGACAGCUAAGCCUGCCUGGAGCAGAGCCCCAACCCUGCAGCAGCUCAAACAAGCUGAGAUCAGCAAAUGCACAUCUGACUCUCAGACAUGGGGGCAAUAAUAAUAAAUGCUGUUUGAGUUUUGGGGUCUUUGGCUACACAGCAAUUGCUCACCAAUAUGACAGGGUUGUAUGACGUGGCCAUGCGGAACUGUAUUAUA